rnacentral:rRNA from 1 species
AUUGAACGCUGGCGGCAGGCCUAACACAUGCAAGUCGAACGGUAGCACAGAGAGCUUGCUCUCGGGUGACGAGUGGCGGACGGGUGAGUAACGUCUGGGAAACUGCCCGAUGGAGGGGGAUAACUACUGGAAACGGUAGCUAAUACCGCAUAACGUCGCAAGACCAAAGUGGGGGACCUUCGGGCCUCACACCAUCGGAUGUGCCCAGAGGGGAUUAGCUAGUAGGUGGGGUAAUGGCUCACCUAGGCGACGAUCCCUAGCUGGUCUGAGAGGAGGACCGGCCACACUGGAACGGAGACACGGUCCAGACUCCUACGGGAGGCAGCAGUGGGGAAUAUUGCACAAUGGGCGCAAGCCUGAUGCGGCCAUGCCGCGUGUAUGAAGAAGGCCUUCGGGUUGUAAAGUACUUUCAGCGGGGAGGAAGGCGGUGAAGUUAAUAGCUUCACCGAUUGACGUUACCCGCAGAAGAAGCACCGGCUAACUCCGUGCCAGCCGCCGCCGUAA